rnacentral:rRNA from 1 species
UCAGGACGAACGCUGGCGGCGUGCUUAACACAUGCAAGUCGAACGGUGAUGGCCAGCUUGCUGGUCUGAUCAGUGGCGAACGGGUGAGUAACACGUGAGCAACCUACCCCAGACUCUGGAAUAACCAUGGGAAACGAUGGCUAAUACCGGAUACGAGACGCACACGCAUGUGUGGUGUCUGGAAAGAUUUAUCGGUCUGGGAUGGGCUCGCGGCCUAUCAGCUUGUUGGUGGGGUAGUGGCCUACCAAGGCGACGACGGGUAGCCGGCCUGAGAGGGCGACCGGCCACACUGGGACUGAGAUACGGCCCAGACUCCUACGGGAGGCAGCAGUGGGGAAUAUUGCACAAUGGGCGCAAGCCUGAUGCAGCGACGCCGCGUGAGGGAUGACGGCCUUCGGGUUGUAAACCUCUUUCAGCAGGGAAGAAGCGAAAGUGACGGUACCUGCAGAAGAAGCGCCGGCUAACUACGUGCCAGCAGCCGCGGUAAUACGUAGGGCGCAAGCGUUGUCCGGAAUUAUUGGGCGUAAAGAGCUCGUAGGCGGUUUGUCGCGUCUGCUGUGAAAACCUAAGGCUCAACCUUGGGCUUGCAGUGGGUACGGGCAGACUAGAGUGCGGUAGGGGUGACUGGAAUUCCUGGUGUAGCGGUGGAAUGCGCAGAUAUCAGGAGGAACACCGAUGGCGAAGGCAGGUCACUGGGCCGCAACUGAC